rnacentral:rRNA from 1 species
UGGGGAAUUUUGGACAAUGGGCGAAAGCCUGAUCCAGCAAUGCCGCGUGUGUGAAGAAGGCCUUCGGGUUGUAAAGCACUUUUGUCCGGAAAGAAAUCCUUGGCUCUAAUACAGUCGGGGGAUGACGGUACCGGAAGAAUAAGCACCGGCUAACUACGUGCCAGCAGCCGCGGUAAUACGUAGGGUGCAAGCGUUAAUCGGAAUUACUGGGCGUAAAGCGUGCGCAGGCGGUUUGCUAAGACCGAUGUGAAAUCCCCGGGCUCAACCUGGGAACUGCAUUGGUGACUGGCAGGCUAGAGUAUGGCAGAGGGGGGUAGAAUUCCACGUGUAGCAGUGAAAUGCGUAGAGAUGUGGAGGAAUACCGAUGGCGAAGGCAGCCCCCUGGGCCAAUACUGACGCUCAUGCACGAAAGCGUGGGGAGCAAACAGGAUUAGAUACCCUGGUAGUCCACGCCCUAAACGAUGUCAACUAGUUGUUGGGGACUUCAUUUCCUUAGUAACGUAGCUAACGCGUGAAGUUGACCGCCUGGGGAGUACGGUCGCAAGAUUAAAACUCAAAGGAAUUGACGGGG